rnacentral:rRNA from 1 species
UACGGGGGGGGGCAAGCGUUGUUCGGAAUUACUGGGCGUAAAGGGCUCGUAGGCGGCCAACUAAGUCGGAUGUGAAAUCCCCAGGCUUAACCUGGGAAUGGCAUUGGAAACUGGCUCGCUGGAGUGUGGCAGAGGGGGGUGGAAUUCCGCGUGUAGCAGUGAAAUGCGUAGAGAUGCGGAGGAACACCGAUGGCGAAGGCAGCCCCCUGGGCUAACACUGACGCUCAGGCACGAAAGCGUGGGGAGCAAACAGG